GGCAAAAAGGAGAAAGGGCAAGAAGAGGCAGCACCAGCAACAUCCGACGCUUUUACCAAGAAAGGAAAAGCCUUCCUAAGAGCCCACAGCAGGUUUCAGCUCAAUGCCCCAUUGAUCUGAGUUGUGUCCCAUGCCUUUCCUGGCUACAAGGGAGUCUGGGAAAGUAAGCCAUUUGUCUUGGGCUCACCUCAUGUGAAGAGCUGAUUCAUUGGAAAAGACUGAUGCUGGGAGGGAUUGAGGGCAGGAGGAGAAGGGGACGACAGAGGAUGAGAUGGCUGGAUGGCAUCACUGACUCGAUGGACGUGAGUCUGAGUGAACUCUGAGAGUUGGUGAUGGACAGGGAGGCCUGGCGUGCUGCGAUUCAUGGGGUCACAAAGCAUCGGACACAAUUGAGUGACUGAACUGAACUGAAGACCCUGUCACCAUAAGCAAAACUGGAAUGUCACAGCAAAGAGGAAUAUGCCGCACCCUUCCCCCUACAGUCAUUCUAGGUGGCACAGGGCUCCACAGCACCCUCUUAAAAGCCCCAAAUUCCUACCAAAGGAGCUCCUGCAUCCACGGUCCUCUCAAUGCCUCAGGCAAGAAGGGCCCACCCAAGGAGCCGGGAUUCUCCUGAGCAGGAGGCCUGCAGACUUCAGCCUUCUCCUUGCAGAAGCCAGGCCCGCAGUACCCCUUAUGGCACACCUGGGUGGGAGGCCAGCAGAUACCCAGCCACUGCUCACACUGCCCAGUGCCAACCAGGCAACACAGGGUCUUCCUUCAGGCCUCCUGCUCACCUCCAGCUUU
ensembl:lncRNA